UUAAUGCAGGAUUAGUUUGUCCAGUAGAAGUUAAGGCGUACUAGUACUGUGGUUGGUUACCAGACAAACUACAGCUGCUACUUUGUAACGCGCCAUUAGAUCCCAACUACUCCUGUGUUUGUGACCUUACAUUAGAGACCAACUACUACUGUGUUUGUGACCUUACAAUAGAGACAAAUUACGUUUGUAACCAGACCAGGAAUCUGGAGGACUGACGGAGAAGCUGUACAUCUGGAAGGCAAAUCCUGAGGACGAUCAGGACUCUACCAUCAAGGAUUCCUCACACACAUGAGCUGAACCUCACCUGAUCCUGUUUGGUCGGGGGCAGACGCACCUGAGCUGAACCCCACCUGAUCCGGACAUCCUGCUGGUCCCGUCUCCUCAGUUCAUCUGAGCCUCUUCCUCCAGAAGACAUGCUGAGCUCGGCGGUCUGAGGCUGAUGUAUCAAUGACCUCCAGUGGGAGUGAUCUUCUUGACCCCACAUGUAGCCGUGUGCUUCCACACGCCUUUCCCUCACGUCUGUCACUAACCUCAUUACUUCACUACUCUCUACUCCUUCUCCUUCUUCUUCCUUCUCCGUGGUUCGAACCUUUACUCUGAAGGAGAAUCUCCUUGAACCUUUACACUGAAGGAGCGUCUUCCUGUCCUCAGAGGGUUCAGCGUUAGGGUUGAGAGUCAGGGUUUAGAGUCAGGGACAGAGCUGGUCAGGGAGGGCUGGUUUUACAUAAACCUUUUCACUUGCUUUCUGAAUGGUGGUGACAUUUUGAAAAGAUUAAUUUGGGAAAAUGUUUUCCUCUUUUUUUGCUUUACAAAAAUAUGUAUUAAACUUCUGUGUUUGUAACCAGACCAGGUAUCCAUGGCUGAAGGAACUGAUGGUGGAGCCGUGCUGAAAGAGCGGAUGGAGGAGCCGUGCUGACGGCCCUGCCUGGUGGAGGAGCCGUGCUGACGGCCCUGCCUGGUGGAGGAGCCGUGCUGACGGCCCUGCCUGGUGGAGGAGCCGUGCUGACGGCCCUGCCUGGUGGAGGAUGUCUGUCGUGGGGUAGAUGGAGCCUGACUCUGUGACAUCACACUCACUGCCACUUCUCGUAGAAUACUGCUACCACAAACCACCGGCGUUUGUAACAAUAUACCAGACGACUACAUCUGUUUUACCACAUGUUGAAGCAAGACUUCUGCUGUUUGUUCCAGACCAGGACUCUGUCUGAGGAGAGCAGAUGGAGGAGCUGAGAUGCUGGAGGACAACUAGGAAUCGACCAACAAGGAUUCUUCAACGUGUUUCUGGAGCGGAGGCCAGCUGGUAGGGGAGCCGUGAAUCUGGAGGAUGACCAUCACUCUACCAACAAGGAUUACUUUAGGGCCAGACUCGCGCUGUUUGUUCCAGACCAGGACUCUGGCUGAGGAGAGCUGAUGGAGGAGCCAAGACUCUGUAGGACGACAUCACUCCACCAACCAGGAUCCUCAGACAAAUUACGUUUGUAACCAGACCAGGAGUCUGGAGGACUGACGGAGAAGCUGUACAUCUGGAAGGCAAAUCCUGAGGACGAUCAGGACUCUACCAUCAAGGAUUCCUUACACACAUGAGCUGAACCUCACCUGAUCCUGUUUGGUCGGGGGCAGACGCACCUGAGCUGAACCCCACCUGAUCCGGACAUCCUGCUGGUCCCGUCUCCUCAGUUCAUCUGAGCCUCUUCCUCCAGAAGACAUGCUGAGCUCGGCGGUCUGAGGCUGAUGUAUCAAUGACCUCCAGUGGGAGUGAUCUUCUUGACCCCACAUGUAGCCGUGUGCUUCCACACGCCUUUCCCUCACGUCUGUCACUAACCUCAUUACUUCACUACUCUCUACUCCUUCUCCUUCUUCUUCCUUCUCCGUGGUUCGAACCUUUACUCUGAAGGAGAAUCUCCUUGAACCUUUACACUGAAGGAGCGUCUUCCUGUCCUCAGAGGGUUCAGCGUUAGGGUUGAGAGUCAGGGUUUAGAGUCAGGGACAGAGCUGGUCAGGGAGGGCUGGUUUUACAUAAACCUUUUCACUUGCUUUCUGAAUGGUGGUGACAUUUUGAAAAGAUUAAUUUGGGAAAAUGUUUUCCUCUUUUUUUGCUUUACAAAAAUAUGUAUUAAACUUCUGUGUUUGUAACCAGACCAGGUAUCCAUGGCUGAAGGAACUGAUGGUGGAGCCGUGCUGAAAGAGCGGAUGGAGGAGCCGUGCUGACGGCCCUGCCUGGUGGAGGAGCCGUGCUGACGGCCCUGCCUGGUGGAGGAGCCGUGCUGACGGCCCUGCCUGGUGGAGGAGCCGUGCUGACGGCCCUGCCUGGUGGAGGAUGUCUGUCGUGGGGUAGAUGGAGCCUGACUCUGUGACAUCACACUCACUGCCACUUCUCGUAGAAUACUGCUACCACAAACCACCGGCGUUUGUAACAAUAUACCAGACGACUACAUCUGUUUUACCACAUGUUGAAGCAAGACUUCUGCUGUUUGUUCCAGACCAGGACUCUGUCUGAGGAGAGCAGAUGGAGGAGCUGAGAUGCUGGAGGACAACUAGGAAUCGACCAACAAGGAUUCUUCAACGUGUUUCUGGAGCGGAGGCCAGCUGGUAGGGGAGCCGUGAAUCUGGAGGAUGACCAUCACUCUACCAACAAGGAUUACUUUAGGGCCAGACUCGCGCUGUUUGUUCCAGACCAGGACUCUGGCUGAGGAGAGCUGAUGGAGGAGCCAAGACUCUGUAGGACGACAUCACUCCACCAACCAGGAUCCUCACCAGGAGUCUGGAGGACUGACGGAGAAGCUGUACAUCUGGAAGGCAAAUCCUGAGGACGAUCAGGACUCUACCAUCAAGGAUUCCUUACACACAUGAGCUGAACCUCACCUGAUCCUGUUUGGUCGGGGGCAGACGCACCUGAGCUGAACCCCACCUGAUCCGGACAUCCUGCUGGUCCCGUCUCCUCAGUUCAUCUGAGCCUCUUCCUCCAGAAGACAUGCUGAGCUCGGCGGUCUGAGGCUGAUGUAUCAAUGACCUCCAGUGGGAGUGAUCUUCUUGACCCCACAUGUAGCCGUGUGCUUCCACACGCCUUUCCCUCACGUCUGUCACUAACCUCAUUACUUCACUACUCUCUACUCCUUCUCCUUCUUCUUCCUUCUCCGUGGUUCGAACCUUUACUCUGAAGGAGUGUCUCCUUGAACCUUUACACUGAAGGAGCGUCUUUCUGUCCUCGGAGGGUUCAGCGUUAGGGUUGAGAGUCAGGGUUUAGAGUCAGGGACAGAGCUGGUCAGGGAGGGCUGGUUUUACAUAAACCUUUUCACUUGCUUUCUGAAUGGUGGUGACAUUUUGAAAAAAUUAAUUUGGGAAAAUGUUUUCCUCUUUUUUUGCUUUACAAAAAUAUGUAUUAAACUUCUGUGUUUGUAACCAGACCAGGUAUCCAUGGCUGAAGGAGCUGAUGGUGGAGCCGUGCUGAAAGAGCGGAUGGAGGAGCCGUGCUGACGGCCCUGCCUGGUGGAGGAGCCGUGCUGACGGCCCUGCCUGGUGGAGGAGCCGUGCUGACGGCCCUGCCUGGUGGAGGAGCCGUGCUGACGGCCCUGCCUGGUGGAGGAUGUCUGUCGUGGGGUAGAUGGAGCCUGACUCUGUGACAUCACACUCACUGCCACUUCUCGUAGAAUACUGCUACCACAAACCACCGGCGUUUGUAACAAUAUACCAGACGACUACAUCUGUUUUACCACAUGUUGAAGCAAGACUUCUGCUGUUUGUUCCAGACCAGGACUCUGUCUGAGGAGAGCAGAUGGAGGAGCUGAGAUGCUGGAGGACAACUAGGAAUCGACCAACAAGGAUUCUUCAACGUGUUUCUGGAGCGGAGGCCAGCUGGUAGGGGAGCCGUGAAUCUGGAGGAUGACCAUCACUCUACCAACAAGGAUUACUUUAGGGCCAGACUCGCGCUGUUUGUUCCAGACCAGGACUCUGGCUGAGGAGAGCUGAUGGAGGAGCCAAGACUCUGUAGGACGACAUCACUCCACCAACCAGGAUCCUCACCAGGAAUCUGGAGGACUGACGGAGAAGCUGUACAUCUGGAAGGCAAAUCCUGAGGACGAUCAGGACUCUACCAUCGAGGAUUCCUCACACACAUGAGCUGAACCUCACCUGAUCCUGUUUGGUCGGGGGGCAGACGCACCUGAGCUGAACCCCACCUGAUCCGGACAUCCUGCUGGUCCCGUCUCCUCAGUUCAUCUGAGCCUCUUCCUCCAGAAGACAUGCUGAGCUCGGCGGUCUGAGGCUGAUGUAUCAAUGACCUCCAGUGGGAGUGAUCUUCUUGACCCCACAUGUAGCCGUGUGCUUCCACACGCCUUUCCCUCACGUCUGUCACUAACCUCAUUACUUCACUACUCUCUACUCCUUCUCCUUCUUCUUCCUUCUCCGUGGUUCGAACCUUUACUCUGAAGGAGUGUCUCCUUGAACCUUUACACUGAAGGAGCGUCUUCCUGUCCUCAGAGGGUUCAGCGUUAGGGUUGAGAGUCAGGGUUUAGAGUCAGGGACAGAGCUGGUCAGGGAGGGCUGGUUUUACAUAAACCUUUUCACUUGCAUUCUGAAUGGUGGUGACAAUUUGAAAAGAUUAAUUUGGGAAAAUGUUUUCCUCUUUUUUUGCUUUACAAAAAUAUGUAUUAAACUUCUGUGUUUGUAACCAGACCAGGUAUCCAUGGCUGAAGGAGCUGAUGGUGGAGCCGUGCUGAAAGAGCGGAUGGAGGAGCCGGGCUGACGGCCCUGCCUGGUGGAGGAGCCGUGCUGACGGCCCUGCCUGGUGGAGGAGCCGUGCUGACGGCCCUGCCUGGUGGAGGAGCCGUGCUGACGGCCCUGCCUGGUGGAGGAUGUCUGUCACCAGGACUCUGGCUGAGGAGAGCUGAUGGAGGAGCCAAGACUCUGUAGGACGACAUCACUCCACCAACCAGGAUCCUCACCAGGAGUCUGGAGGACUGACGGAGAAGCUGUACAUCUGGAAGGCAAAUCCUGAGGACGAUCAGGACUCUACCAUCAAGGAUUCCUCACACACAUGAGCUGAACCUCACCUGAUCCUGUUUGGUCGGGGGCAGACGCACCUGAGCUGAACCCCACCUGAUCCGGACAUCCUGCUGGUCCCGUCUCCUCAGUUCAUCUGAGCCUCUUCCUCCAGAAGACAUGCUGAGCUCGGCGGUCUGAGGCUGAUGUAUCAAUGACCUCCAGUGGGAGUGAUCUUCUUGACCCCACAUGUAGCCGUGUGCUUCCACACGCCUUUCCCUCACGUCUGUCACUAACCUCAUUACUUCACUCUCUACUCCUUCUCCUUCUUCUUCCUUCUCCGUGGUUCGAACCUUUACUCUGAAGGAGUGUCUCCUUGAACCUUUACACUGAAGGAGCGUCUUCCUGUCCUCAGAGGGUUCAGCGUUAGGGUUGAGAGUCAGGGUUUAGAGUCAGGGACAGAGCUGGUCAGGGAGGGCUGGUUUUACAUAAACCUUUUCACUUGCAUUCUGAAUGGUGGUGACAAUUUGAAAAGAUUAAUUUGGGAAAAUGUUUUCCUCUUUUUUUGCUUUACAAAAAUAUGUAUUAAACUUCUGUGUUUGUAACCAGACCAGGUAUCCAUGGCUGAAGGAGCUGAUGGUGGAGCCGUGCUGAAAGAGCGGAUGGAGGAGCCGGGCUGACGGCCCUGCCUGGUGGAGGAGCCGUGCUGACGGCCCUGCCUGGUGGAGGAGCCGUGCUGACGGCCCUGCCUGGUGGAGGAUGUCUGUCGUGGACCAGGACUCUGGCUGAGGAGAGCUGAUGGAGGAGCCAAGACUCUGUAGGACGGCAUCACUCCACCAACCAGGAUCCUCAGACGAAUUACGUUUGUAACCAGACCAGGAAUCUGGAGGACUGAUGGAGAAGCCGUACAUCUGGAAGGCAAAUCCUGAGGACCAGCAGGACUCUACCAUCAAGGAUUCCUCAUAAGUUUGCAUUAUCUGGACAAAGUGGCCUAGACACACCUGAGCUGAACCUCACCUGAUCCUGUUUGGUCGGGGGUAGACACACCUGAGCUAAACCCACCCUGAUCCUGACAUCCUGCUGGUCCAGUCUCCUCAGUUCUCCUGAGCCUCGUCCCAGGCUGAUGGAUCAAUGGCCUCCAGUGGGAGGGAUCUUCUUGACUCCACUUGUAACCGUGUGCUUCCACACGCCUUUCCCUCACAUCUGUCACUAACCUCACUACUUCACUACUCUCUACUGCUUCCUCUUUUCUUCCUUCUCUGUGGUUUAAACCUUUUAUACUGAAGGCGCGUCUUCCUGCCCUCAGAGGGUUUAGCGUUAGGGUUGAGAGUCAGGGUUUAGAGUCAGGGACAGAGCUGGUCAGGGAGGACUGCUUUUACACAAACCUCUUGACUUGCUUUCGGAAUGGUGGUGACAUUUUGAAAAGAUUCAUUUGGUAAAAUCUUUUCCUCUGCUUCCCUUUACAAAAUUGUAUCAAACUUCUGUCAAGUGUUUUUGUUUAAAUAUUAAAAUCCCACAUUGACUUCUACAUGUUUGGUGCGGUUCAUUUAUUUGUCCUUUUAACUUGGUUAAUGUCAAGCUAAACUCCUGCAAUACAUUGAUAUACAUGAUUGUUAUUCAACAAUGUUCACAUAAUCCAUUUUGUAAAAAUAGGAAACCCCAAUAUUACUACUAAAUUCAAGCCUAUUCAUGUAUUUAAAGGCCCACUAUGCAAGAUCGGGAAUUUCUUCGCUGUUUUCUUGGUUUGGCACGCACCUUUCUCUACACAGCGCCCCCUACAGCUUCGUAGUAGAUAUUUUACAACACUGUCGUAACAACUCGUUGACGACCCUUCCCCAUGCACUUCUACGCUAGCCAUGUGCAUUUGUUUUCAA